rnacentral:rRNA from 1 species
UACGAAGGGGGCUAGCGUUGCUCGGAAUCACUGGGCGCAAAGCGCACGUAGGCGGAUCUUUAAGUCAGGGGUGAAAUCCCAGGGCUCAACCCUGGAAUUGCCUUUGAUACUGGACGUCUCGAGUUCGGGAGAGGUGAGUGGAAUUCCGAGUGUAGAGGUGAAAUUCGUAGAUAUUCGGAGGAACACCAGAAGCGAAGGCGGCUCACUGGCCCGAUACUGACGCUGAGGCGCGAAAGCGUGGGGAGCAAACAGG